AAUCAUGUUCGAUUCAUACAAGAGAAACAACCUGCAAGCAAGAUGUUGAUUACAUGUCUAUUGUCGAGGAUGAAUCUGAAUCUACUUUUCAUGAGGCUUUUCUUAGUCGUCUUACGGAAACUGGUGCAACAGAAAAUUCAUCUUUAUGUGACCUUCCUAAACAGAUGGAAGGUGAUCAACAGAGAGCCUCUGAACAUACUAAGAACAUCUUAAGUAAUUUAGUUGUUGCUGUUGACAAUUUGUGGUAUCUAAAAGAUGGAAUACAUACUGUAGUCUUGAAAAAACUUUCAAAAAAUGGAUCUUGCAGGCAAAGGACACCAAGUGAAUUAGAUAGAGAGGUUAAGAACUUGAGGGUGGAAUUUACUGACCUGUUUUUGAAGCAUAACACUUUCAAAGAAACUGCAAAGCCAUCGAGAUAUUGAUGCAAAGAAUAAAGCCGAGCUUAGAAUAAUAAGAGCUAGAAAAUUAUGCGAAAACUGAAGAAGCUAAAGUUGAGGAGCUUAUAAAGGCAGUUGUUGAUUCCGGUGCCAAAGUAAUUGUUAGUGGAGCAGCAGUUGGGGAGAUGGCACUUCAUUUCUGUGAGCGCUACAAUUAAAGCUUAGCAAGCCAAACCCAAAUGACCUGGGACAUGUUGAUUCAGUUUCAGUAGAAGAAAUUGGUGGUGCUAGGGUACAUAAAUAUUUUGUGGAUCAGGAAACAAUAUCAAUUGCAAUAUAAGUAUCCGGGUGUGACUUGAACUUCAGACUUUGUGUGAGCAAACCAAAGGUCACUGUUGUGAAGAAUGAAGAAGGUGGGAACUCCGUAACCACUAUUUUAUUGCGAGGAACCACAGAUAGCAUUUUAGAUGACAUUGAAAGAGCAGUUGAUGAUGGAGUAAAUACUUACAAGGCUAUGUGUAGGGAUAGCCGAAUGGUUCCUGGUGCAGCUGCUACUGAAAUUGAAUUAGCUAAGAGAGUGAAAGAGUAUUCAUUUAAAGAAACAGGGUCAGUACGUCAGAGCUGUCUUUCUACAUUUAUGCUUCGUACUUCCUAGAAAUUUCAUGAUCUUCCUAUGCAUGCAGGUAUAUUGAGAUGAUUUCUUUGGAGAAAUUCUUGACAACAUUUGAAGUUGAGGACUUUAGAAUGGAAGAAUGUAUUUCACUAAUUUUUGUAUACAUUUCUUGUUUUGUAUUUAGUGAUAAAGGAAUCUGAAUUGGGCAUAAAUUAUGUUGUAAUAUGAUUUCUUAAGCCUAGACUAGUAGACUAAAUAUUGUAAUUACAUUUUGAGUAAUUAAUAAAAAUCUAUUUAUGUUACCUUA